AGAGUUUGAUCCUGGCUCGGGACGAACGCUGGCGGCGUGCUUAACACAUGCAAGUCGAACGGGGCAUAGAGAUGUGCCUAGUGGCGGACGGGUGAGUAACACGUGAGCAAUCUAUCCUAUACAACGGGAUAACACAGAGAAAUUUGUGCUAAUACGGUAUAAGACCACAUUCCGGCAUCGGAGAGGGGUAAAAGCUGAGGCGGUAUAGGAGGAGCUCGCGGCCCAUUAGCUAGUUGGAGAGGUAACGGCU
rnacentral:rRNA from 1 species